CUUUGUAUUGGCAAUUUCUGAUCCACUUUAGAAGUGGGUGAAAUUGUGAUUACUUCUUUGUUUUUCAAUCUUUUUCCAAUUUUUUUGCACAUUGCUAUGUGGGGUUUCAGAUGUUUUCAACGUCAUUGCCACUCUUGCAUAUUACUGUAUUAAUGCAUUUGGGCAUGCAUGUUUGGACUUUGGAUAUAUGGUGGAAAACCACAGUGAAGCCAAAAUCAUGAUGGAGAGUUGCAAAAGGUGGUGCCAUUGGUAAUUUACUGUUGAAGUUCAUUGCUCUAAGGACUUUUUGAAUUGAAAUUGUAUGUAAUGGGUUGCUUUUACUACUUCAAAGACAAAUCCAAGAAGUGGAAGCAAAGAUCAGCACCUGAACUGAAAGAGCAAGAGAAAUUUCAGUAUUCAGGGGAUGAAAGAGUCACCAAGUCUUCGUGCUCUUCAUCUUCGCCUCGUGGUCUCCAAGAAUUGUAUGAUAAGAAGCCCCACAAUUUGCAGGUUUUUUCCUUCAGGGAGCUCAGCCUUGCAACGGAUGACUUCAGUAGGCUUAAGAAGAUAGGAGAAGGGGGAUUUGGGAGUGUAUAUAAAGGCUCAAUCAAACCAGCUGUUGAUGGGAAUGGUGAUCCUACUUUAGUUGCUAUUAAAAGGCUUAACCAGAAUGGAUUACAGGGUCAUAAACAAUGGUUGGCAGAAGUGCAGUUUCUUGGUGUUGUAAAACACCCAAAUCUUGUCAAACUCGUCGGUUACUGUGCUGUGGAUGGUGAAAGAGGAAUCCAAAGACUACUUGUAUAUGAAUUUAUGUCAAAUAAAAGCUUAGAGUCUCAUCUUUUCAAUAAAGCAUUUGAUCCUCUUCCUUGGAAAACAAGACUCGAGGUAGCACUAGGAGCAGCUCAUGGGUUAGCUUAUCUGCAUGAAGACUCUGAAACUCAGAAAACUUCCUGAUAAUAUGAAGAUCUGAUGGAAAUCUGGGAGGUAGGAAGAGAAUUGAUAACUUAGAAACCUCUGUUGCUUGGGUUUAAGACGAUCCACUUGAGCCUGAAGAAAAGCCAAAUCAAUCAGCCCCUUCUGAACUAUGGAAAAAGAGGAUGGCUCAUCUUGCAAAACUUGGGAUUCUAAUGGUGAUGUCCUUGUUGAGGCGACCUCAGCUUCUCCAGCAGUCUUAUAUCUUGUUCUUGCAGAGGCUAUGCACUUUCGUUGGGUUCUUUCCCAUGCUUUUGAUCUUUGUUUCUACCGGGUCUAUUUUGAGACAGAUUGUAUGCUCCUAUUCGAGGCUUGAAAAAUACAUUCUGGAGGGCCCUCUUACUUGGUUUGUUAGCGAUUGUCAUGACUUGAUUUCUUCUUUUGAUUUUGUUGAUUUAUUAUUUGUUCAUAGAUCUUGUAAUUAACUCUAUUGUGGUGUAUUGACUAAACUUUCUUUUAUGUACUUUGAGUAAUUUUAUCA